AGUUGACCUCGGAUCAGGUAGGGAUACCCGCUGAACUUAAGCAUAUCAAUAAGCGGAGGAAAAGAAACCAACAGGGAUUGCCUCAGUAACGGCGAGUGAAGCGGCAAUAGCUCAAAUUUGAAAUCUGGCUCCUCUAGGGGUCCGAGUUGUAAUUUGUAGAGGAUGCUUCGGGCAAGGCUGCGGUCUAAUUCGCUUGGAACAGCGGGUCGCAGAGGGUGAGAAUCCCGUCUAGGACCGCCUGCCGCGUCCAUGUGAAGCUCCUUCGACGAGUCGAGUUGUUUGGGAAUGCAGCUCUAAAUGGGUGGUAAAUUUCAUCUAAAGCUAAAUAUUGGCCAGAGACCGAUAGCGCACAAGUAGAGUGAUCGAAAGAUGAAAAGCACUUUGAAAAGAGAGUUAAACAGUAUGUGAAAUUGUUGAAAGGGAAGCGCUUGCAAUCAGACUUGAGGGGGGCGGUUCCCCCGGUCUCCUGACCGGGUCAUUUCCGCCAUCUCCAGGCCAGCAUCGGUUUGGGUGGUCGGUUAAAGGUCCCGGGAAUGUAUCUACCUUCGGGUCGACUUAUAGCCCGGGGCGCAAUGCGGCCCACCCGGACCGAGGUACGCGCUUCGGCUCGGAUGCUGGCGUAAUGGUUGCAAGCGGCCCGUCUUGAAACACGGACCAAGGAGUCUAACAUCUAUGCGAGUGUUUGGGUGUCAAACCCCUACGCGUAAUGAAAGUGAACGGUGGUAAGAACCCCGUCAGGGGCGCAUUAUCGACCGAUCCUGAUGUCUUCGGAUGGAUUUGAGUAAGAGCAUAGCUGUUGGGACCCGAAAGGUACGUCGCUAUUUUCACUCUAAUCUAUUCCUUUUGUUCAGUUAUAAAGAUCCGUCAAGAUCACACAAGGACCCAACCACCAACCGAAAUGCAUCUACACCGACGCCACUGGCCGACACCUGCCUCACCGGAACACUGAUCACUUUACGACCUGCAUCUGUACCGCGCCGAACUGCCACUCAACACACAUCAGAGAGACCGAAGUUGCUACUGAGGCCAUUGGGAUUGAGGAGAGUGAGGGCGAAGAUUAAGCGGGGGAGACGUGAUCUUGACGGAUCAAUCUUGAUAUUUUGUUUUUUUAACCAUAUAUUCUCUAGAAACACCUAUACUAACUUCUAUUUAUGGAAAGAUGGUGAACUAUGCCUAGAUAGGGUGAAGCCAGAGGAAACUCUGGUGGAGGCUCGCAGCGGUUCUGACGUGCAAAUCGAUCGUCAAAUCUGGGUAUAGGGGCGAAAGACCAAUCGAACCAUUGAGAAUUGUGGGGUAAAAAGGCUACCGGGUGGUUCUUUAAUAGUCCUUUGGGGCUACAUCGUCCUUCUGGCGGGGAUCAACACCCGCAGCAGCCCCGGCUGUCCACAGACUAGGAGACGGUGGUCAUCUCAACCGAGGGAUGAUGAUGGUAUAGUC
rnacentral:rRNA from 1 species